rnacentral:rRNA from 1 species
UGGGGAAUAUUGCACAAUGGGCGCAAGCCUGAUGCAGCCAUGCCGCGUGUGUGAAGAAGGCCUUCGGGUUGUAAAGCACUUUCAGCGAGGAGGAAGGUGGUGAGCUUAAUACGCUCAUCAAUUGACGUUACUCGCAGAAGAAGCACCGGCUAACUCCGUGCCAGCAGCCGCGGUAAUACGGAGGGUGCAAGCGUUAAUCGGAAUUACUGGGCGUAAAGCGCACGCAGGCGGUUUGUUAAGUCAGNUGUGAAAUCCCCGGGGCUCAACCUGGGAACUGCAUUUGAAACUGGCAAGCUAGAGUCUCGUAGAGGGGGCUAGAAUUCCAGGUGUAGCGGUGAAAUGCGUAGAGAUCUGGAGGAAUACCGGUGGCGAAGGCGGCCCCCUGGANGAAGACUGACGCUCAGGUGCGAAA